rnacentral:rRNA from 1 species
AGAGUUUGAUCCUGGCUCAGAUUGAACGCUGGCGGCAUGCCUUACACAUGCAAGUCGAACGGCAGCGCGGGGCAACCUGGCGGCGAGUGGCGAACGGGUGAGUAAUAUAUCGGAACGUGCCCUGGAGUGGGGGAUAACGCAGCGAAAGUUGCGCUAAUACCGCAUACGAUCUAAGGAUGAAAGCAGGGGACCGCAAGGCCUUGUGCUCCUGGAGCGGCCGAUAUCUGAUUAGCUAGUUGGUGGGGUAAAGGCCUACCAAGGCAUCGAUCAGUAGCUGGUCUGAGAGGACGACCAGCCACACUGGAACUGAGACACGGUCCAGACUCCUACGGGAGGCAGCAGUGGGGAAUUUUGGACAAUGGGCGAAAGCCUGAUCCAGCAAUGCCGCGUGAGUGAAGAAGGCCUUCGGGUAAUGAAGCUCUUUUGUCAGGGAAGAAACGGUGCGGG